GGGUAUAGUUCAGCUGGUAGAGCAGCGGUCUCCAAAACCGUUUGUCGUGGGUUCGAAUCCUACUGCCC
rnacentral:tRNA from 1 species